UACGUAGGGCGCAAGCGUUAUCCGGAAUUACUGGGCGUAAAGAGCUCGUAGGUGGUUUGUCGCGUUGUUCGUGAAAACUCACAGCUUAACUGUGGGCGUGCGGGCGAUACGGGCAGACUGGAGUACUGCAGGGGAGACUGGAAUUCCUGGUGUAGCGGUGGAAUGCGCAGAUAUCAGGAGGAACACCGGUGGCGAAGGCGGGUCUCUGGGCAGUAACUGACGCUGAGGAGCGAAAGCAUGGGGAGCGAACAGG
rnacentral:rRNA from 1 species